CAGUAGCAACUCAGUUACCAGGAGGAGAUAACAAGACCUAGAAUAUGAGAGAUUGGUAAUCCCUAUCAAAGGUGGGCUGAUUAAUAGGAAAAUUAAAAGAAGAUGGUUGAUUAGAUGGGAGAACAUAUGGCAGAAAGUCUUUACAGUAUGUAUGGAACAGCUUCCAAAUUGUAAUAGAUUUCACAUCUAAAGUCUGGAAUUGGUACAUCGGAGAAAGCCACCAAAGAUGUUUUUAAUGUUUUAACCUAUUUGCCAUAAACGUUAGCUGCUUUCAUAGUUGAGGAUUGUGGUGGUGGAGGACGUUUGUGUGUCGAGGAGGGGUAGAAGGGGGGAGGACUAUAUUAGCAGAAAGAGAACAAGAAACCUUGAAAAUAAUGUUCUGCCAAAUGGAGAUAAAAUUACGUACAAAAUUGGAAAGCUGGAGAAGUGGAACCUUCAAUGAAGUUACAGCAGCGGGGUUGAAAAGAAAGGAGUCAAUGGAGCAAAGGAUUUCCCAACAGUGCUACUAUCAGUUCAGUUGCACCAGUGGGGAGCCUCACUGCAUAACAAACCUGUAGUGGCUGG